CAGAUAGCUCAGUCGGUAGAGCAGGGGACUGAAAAUCCCCGUGUCGGUGGUUCGAUUCCGCCUUUGGG
rnacentral:tRNA from 2 species